rnacentral:sRNA from 1 species
AGUAUAUCACGAAGCUUUAGGAAAUGCGGCUUUUAUUGCAAAAGCGCGAAUUGAAGGACUGCGUGAUUUUGG